CGUCUUACCGGUUAAUUACUACUAACUUGCUAAUUCAGAGAAACCCUUGGAACUUCCCUAAACAACCACCAUGGGCUCCCGUUUUCCUCCCACGAGCUUGCACCUCCACCACAACCACAACCACAACCACAACCACCGCCUCCUGGUAUGGCCCAAUUCCACCACCUUUUCUCCUACUUUCUUCAAUUGUUUAGCAUCCUUCUGUAGUCGUACUCAAUUCACUACCACUUAUAUCCCUCAUCUUCACCGCUCGUGUCUAUUGUCAUCCUCCCAUCCCAGAAAAUGGUCUACCCACUGCCGUGCCACCAGCCCUGGCCCACCAUCACCCCCGCAGUUGGACCCGCCUCCUGGAGAUAAUCCACCUCCUUCCUCAGGACUCAUUUCAAGUUUCUCUAGGAUUAAAGAUACUGUGCGGAUCUUCUUUGCUGUUCUCUUCUGGAUGUCUCUUUUCUUCUGGUCUUGCGUGUGGGAUGGGAGAAAUAUUGGAAGACCAAAGAAUGGAUCUCGAUUUAGAAGAUGAGAUACUGUUCUACCCUGAACCAAUGCAAGUUCUGGUGAUUUCAUGCUUCAAAUUUUGACUGUGGUAUGAUCAGAAUCUGGUUAUCUGCAAGACUACCAUGAAGAAUCAUACACUCGGGUACUCUCAUUUUUCUCUCCCCUUCUCUCCAAAUAGUUUGAUCCUUAAUUUCGUUGAAUGUCUGUUAAACUCUUUUAAGUUUUCUAUUUGUGGAUUUUUGACGUGUUUAUGUAAUCUGAUUGCGGACUUGAUUGAGCUUUCAUGGUAAAAAGUACUUUAUGACUAUUAAGAAACCUACUUCACAAAGAAACUACUGUGCAUUUGAAUCAAUUUCUAGCAGAUAGGGUAUGUGAAGUAAAUGUCCUUUGGCGAUAAUAUGUUCCUAGGGGAUGCUGCAGGUUUGGUGUAUGUAUCUAGCAUGGGAAGGUCCCAUUUUCAUCUUUUAGGUGUGUGAGGAGUUUGCUCGGAGGGGGUGAGGAAAAGGAAAAGCAGUUGUAAUUAUAAAUUGACCUUGUGUUUUUUCUGAUCUUUUCUGAUUUAUCAAAGGCUAAUGUGUUCCGUUGUGCUCUCAUUUUCUUUUCA